AUUUUAAAUAUGAACAAGCAUUAUAGACCUGACCUGGACCUUCUUGCUCAUUCUUCUGGUGGAGCCUCCAGAACUCUUCCUUGAAAUCCUAAUGAGCAAAUAAAAUGAAUCCAAAGAAGAACCAAGAGGUUGAUGGACUUGAGAACGUAUCUGUCUUUGGGGUCUCCAGCUGAUCCAAAUCUGGAUACAUGAAUGCUGCUUUGACUUAAAGAAGGAAGAAAUCAACUUUAUUCCCCUUUUGCCAUUUCUGGGAACUGCUAUAAACCAUCUGUAACAGUCACCCAUUAUUAUGACAUGAAGCUAAGAAAACAUAGAUUAAUAAGCUCACAUUCAGUUUGACUCAAGAAAAGAUGUGAAUCCUGUGUGACCAAAAUGAUACUUUGAAAGAGCCCAUGUAUAAUGGAGGACAGCCGUUUCUUAUCAUAUUUCAGAUACACGAACUAUUCAGCUGGAGUUUCCCGCUUCUACUUCAUGUUGUCUUCUCUUUUGUCUUCAGUUGGCAUUGGUGAACCUGCUUGUAGGAUAUUUUACUGAUCUUUUCAACUCAUUAAAUACAGUUGUCAUAAUAGUGAGGGUAGAAAUGCAUGUCAAACUCUAUAAGCAACGUCAAAAUAAAGCAACCACAUUUUAAAAAAGAAAUGGUUUCAAACCUUUGAACUUCUCCUUGAGAAAUAUGGAAAUUCUUUUUAUCUUGUUUUUGACAACACGGAUUGUUUUGCAGCAACACACAUGAAAAUCUCCCUGCAAAAUAAAACAUCCUCCUUCACGAUGAUUAAAUAUAAGAAAGGAAAAAGGAAGGAAACUACAAAACUACAGUAAACUGGCUUUUCAGUAGCUUAAAAUGGUUGGGUGUGAGGACCCAAAAGUUGUCAUUUGAUACUUAGGGUUAGAGCAAAAUAACAAUGAAAAAAUGCGAUAACACUUGUGAAAUGCAGUAUUUAUAGAAAUAUAAUUUAGAAUUAUAAUUUUCAAUCAAAACAGAACAGUUUUCCCUAUUCCAAAUAUCUUUACACUGACAUGUUGUUUUUAAGGCGUUGCAAUAAAAUUCCAGUUAACAUGACGCCAUGGCUAGCUAAUAUAUUUCCACAAAAAACUAACAUGCUUUGGCUUUUUAAGUUUUCUUAAUUGCAUUAUAUGUAUUUAAGUCUAGACGGGUACUAAUAAAUGGGUAGAGUUUCUUUUCAGUCUGAGAAGAAACUCCACUAGUUUAUUAGUAAAAGACACUCUUUUAAAAGAGACAAAAAUAUUUAUCCUAUCUGUUUUUCCAGACAGAUUAUAGGAUUUUCUCUGAACAGAUGAGAUGUGAAGUCUUAGAGGAAUCUCUAAGAUGGCUAACUGGAAUUCAUUUGCUUCUAAACAUAGAUAAGACAAGAGAACUAGAAAGAUUACUAUCAUUGCCAAAUCUUGAUGUGUGUGAUGACUGAUGGGAACAUGCCAGUAGCCUACAUAAGAAAGCAGAAAUGGGUAUUUAAUCAACAAACAUCUCUUUUAACAUUGCUGACCAGUACUUUACUUGGUUAUGUGAAAAGACUGCAAGGCUUAGGCAAACAGACAGACAGACAGAUACACACACACACACACACACACA